UACGUAGGGUGCAAGCGUUGUCCGGAAUUAUUGGGCGUAAAGAGCUCGUAGGCGGUUCGUCGCGUCGGCUGUGAAAACCUGAGGCUCAACCUCAGGCCUGCAGUCGAUACGGGCGGACUUGAGUACUGCAGGGGAGACUGGAAUUCCUGGUGUAGCGGUGAAAUGCGCAGAUAUCAGGAGGAACACCGGUGGCGAAGGCGGGUCUCUGGGCAGCAACUGACGCUGAGGAGCGAAAGCGUGGGGAGCGAACAGG
rnacentral:rRNA from 1 species